rnacentral:lncRNA from 1 species
CCUUUGUCUAAGGGUGGCAAUGCUUGCUACAGGUCCAGGUGGCACAUGCAUAGGCCACACUGACUUGGGAUGGUUAGCAGUGUUCUGGGCCAGCUGCCAAGUCUGCCCUGGGGUUGUUCCUGAUUGGGCAAUUUAGGUCACAGGCCCAUCUCUGGAGCAAAGAGAUUGUGGCCUGGAUGGGGAGGAGGAAUAGGGGUUGGCCCCAGGCUCAGGAGUUGAGAGGAAGAGUGGAGAGUGGAAUGAACCCGGGCUGUCCCUAAAAAGAAAGGGAGGGACGGAUGUGGACAGGGGCCUCCAGCAAGCACAGUGGAGGGGACAGGAGAGAUUGACAAGCAAAGCCCUCGGGCGGCUCCGGCUGCUUGAGGAUGAGAAAGAGUUCUCCACAGAGCGCUGCUGGAGUCCGGGAGCCUGGAGUCCGUGAACCUGGACGAGAAAACAGUCACAUCCAUAUCGGCACCAACUAAAUUCAGCAUCGCCCUGCCUUGUGAAUGUGAGCAGCAAAACCCAGUGAGGUCUGUGGUUUUGCCACCAAUGUUAUCAACCACAAACCCCACUGGGUUUCCGAGCGUCCUACCUUUAUUGCAGAAAUUUCAGGACGGCAUUUGGACUCAAAUCACGGUAGUUCUUAAAUCCGCUACUAGAUAUUCUUUUAAAUGUGCUAGGAAGAAGUAGGAGUUCCCCGGUGGCCUAGCUGGUUAGGAAUCCUGCAUUAUCACUGCUGUAGCUGGGUUAGAUUCCUGGCCUGGGAGUGUCUGCAGGCUGCUGGCCAAAAAAAAAAAAGAAGAAGAAGGAGAAAAGGAAGAGGAAGAGGAAGAAAAGAAGAAGAGGCAUGUAUAUUAAACAAUAGUUUGACAAAUUUCAGUGCAUUUGGCUUCCUUUAUAAUCCUACGUAUUUUGCUAUUUUGCAUUGUGCAUUUAAAAACAUGAUCCUGGAGUUCCCGUCGUGGCGCAGUGGUUGACGGGUCCGACUAGGAACCAUGAGGUUGCGGGUUCGGUCCCUGCCCUUGCUCAGUGGGUUGGCGAUCCGGCGUUGCCGUGAGCUGUGGUGUAGGUUGCAGACUCGGCUCAGAUCCCGCGUUGCUGUGGCUCUGGCGUAGGCCGGUGGCUACAGCUCCGAUUCGACCCCUGGCCUGGGAACCUCCAUGUGCCGCGGGAGCAGCCCAGGAGAUAGCAACAACAACAUGAUCCUG